GCUCCUGAAGGAUAACAGUCUAUCCAUUGGUCUUAGGAACCAAAGACUCUUGGUGCAAGUCCAAGCAGGAACU
rnacentral:tRNA from 1 species